rnacentral:tRNA from 1 species
GGGGGUAUAACUCAGUGGCAGAGCGUGUGCUUAGCAUGCAUGAGGUCUUGGGCUCAAUCCCCAGCACCUCCA